CUCAGAUUUGAAAUCUGGCCCCCGGGUCCGAGUUGUAAUUUGCAGAGGAUGCUUCGGGCGAGGUGCCUUCCGAGUUCCCUGGAACGGGACGCCACAGAGGGUGAGAGCCCCGUCUGGUCGGACACCGAGCCCGUGUGAAGCUCCUUCGAAGAGUCGAGUAGUUUGGGAAUGCUGCUCAAAACGGGAGGUAUAUGUCUUCUAAAGCUAAAUAUUGGCCAGAGACCGAUCGCGCACAAGUAGAGUGAUCGAAAGAUGAAAAGCACUUUGAAAAGAGGGUUAAAAAGUACGUGAAAUUGUUGAAAGGGAAGCGCCCAUGACCAGACUUGGGCCCGGUGAAUCACCCGGCGUUCUCGCCGGUGCACUUUGCCGGGCACAGGCCAGCAUCAGUUUGGCGCGGGGGAGAAAGGCUUCGGGAACGUGGCUCCCUCGGGAGUGUUAUAGCCCGCUGCGCAAUACCCUGCGCCGGACUGAGGUACGCGCAUCGCACGGAUGCUGGCGUAAUGGUCAUCANCGACCCGUCUUGAAACACGGACCAAGGAGUCGUCUUCGUAUGCGAGUGUUCGGGUGUCANACCCCUACGCGGAAUGAAAGUGAACGCANGUGAGAGCUUCNGCGCAUCAUCNACCGAUCCUGAUGUUCUCGGAUGGAUUUGAGUAAGAGCAUAC
rnacentral:rRNA from 1 species